rnacentral:rRNA from 1 species
CCUACGGGUGGCCGCAGUGAGGAAUAUUGGUCAAUGGGCGCUAGCCUGAACCAGCCAAGUAGCGUGAAGGAUGACUGCCCUAUGGGUUGUAAACUUCUUUUAUAUGGGAAUAAAGUGCAGUAUGUAUACUGCUUUGCAUGUACCUUAUGAAUAAGGAUCGGCUAACUCCGUUCCAGCAGCCGCGGUAAUACGGAUGAUCCGGGCGUUAUCCGGAUUUAUUGGGUUUAAAGGGGGCGGUGGCGGGUUGUUAAGUCAGUUGUGAAAGUUUGCGGCGCAACCGUAAAAGUGCCGUUGAUACUGGGAUCCGUGAGUGCAGGAGAGGUAGGCGGAAUGCGUGGUGUAGCGGUGAAAUGCUUAGAUAUCACGAAGAACUCCGAUUGCGAAGGCAGCCUGCUGGACUGUAACUGACGCUGAUGCUCGAAAGUGUGGGUAUCAAACAGGAUUAGAUACCCGUGUAGUC